GAUAACUUCUAUACUAUACCUCUGG
rnacentral:misc_RNA from 1 species